CAAGGAAGGAAAUCAGGCAGAGAAGAGUGAAACCGGGCCAUUUUAAAAGCAGGCUUUCUUCUCCCCAGAACCAAUGUCAAUUGUGGAUAGAGGACACAAUUUCAA
rnacentral:lncRNA from 11 species